AAAAUGCGAAGUAAUUCCUAAAAUUUUUCGAAUUCGAAAUAGAAAAUGACUUUCAGUACAUUUCAUAUUCUUCUGUCCCUAUUUGCCAUCUUUAUGGCUGGUAUUUCCGGUGAAUUUAGUGAAGAUGCAACUUGUACACUGGAGUGCGAAGGGAAAACAAUUUCUGAUCUAGUUUGCUACCAGAAUGGACUGGCUAUAUGCUGUGCGCAACAAGGCCCACAACUGAUGCCAGGCAAGGAACCAUUAUUUACACACAACCAUGACAUAUAGGCUUCAAAUUGAUAAGUAAGUAUAAUACAAUUAAUUAGUGUAUAUAAUUGUUUAGAUUAAUAAAACUGUAUAAAUAGGUAAUAUACUACCAAACCUUAUUAAUUCCAAACAGAAUUGACUACUGAAAUAUACAUAAAAUGAAUUUCAAUAUUUUUAAUAUCCUUUUGUUCCUGUUCGUCGCCUUUAUGGCUGGGGUUUCCGGCCAAGACCAUGAUAAGUGUACUGGUAUAGGAGUUUGUUUACCUGAGUGCGAAAACGGGGAGGUUGGUUUUCAUGACUGUCGCAACAAAACAUUACGCUGCUGCAACUUGUAACCAAAUCCAAUAAAUUAAUCUUCUUUGGUUCUCACUGGAAA